rnacentral:rRNA from 1 species
ACGAUGUCUACUAGUUGUUGGGUCUUAAUUGACUUAGUAACGCAGCUAACGCGUGAAGUAGACCGCCUGGGGAGUACGGUCGCAAGAUUAAAACUCAAAGGAAUUGACGGGGACCCGCACAAGCGGUGGAUGAUGUGGAUUAAUUCGAUGCAACGCGAAAAACCUUACCUACCCUUGACAUGGCAGGAAUCCCGGAGAGAUUUGGGAGUGCUCGAAAGAGAACCUGCACACAGGUGCUGCAUGGCUGUCGUCAGCUCGUGUCGUGAGAUGUUGGGUUAAGUCCCGCAACGAGCGCAACCCUUGUCAUUAGUUGCUACGCAAGAGCACUCUAAUGAGACUGCCGGUGACAAACCGGAGGAAGGUGGGGAUGACGUCAAGUCCUCAUGGCCCUUAUGGGUAGGGCUUCACACGUCAUACAAUGGUACAUACAGAGGGCCGCCAACCCGCGAGGGGGAGCUAAUCCCAGAAAGUGUAUCGUAGUCCGGAUUGUAGUCUGCAACUCGACUACAUGAAGUUGGAAUCGCUAGUAAUCGCGGAUCAGCAUGUCGCGGUGAAUACGUUCCCGGGUCUUGUACACACCGCCCGUCACACCAUGGGAGCGGGUUUUACCAGAAGUAGGUAGCUUAACCGCAAGGAGGGCGCUUACCACGGUAGGAUUCGUGACUGGGGUGAAGUCGUAACAAGGUAACCA